GACGAACGCUAGCGGCAGGCCUAACACAUGCAAGUCGAGGGGUAGCAGGAUUAAGCUUGCUUAAUUGCUGACGACCGGCGCACGGGUGCGUAACGCGUAUGCAACCUACCUUAUACUGGGGUAUAGCCCGGAGAAAUUCGGAUUAAUCCCCCAUAGUACUAAUGAAUCGCAUGGUUUAUUAGUUAAAGCAUUGCGGUAUAAGAUGGGCAUGCGUCCUAUUGGCUAGAUGGUGAGGUAACGGCUCACCAUGGCUACGAUAGGUAGGGGGCCUGGGAGGGGGGUCCCCCACACUGGGACUGAGAAACGGACCAGACUCCUACGGGAGGCAGCAGUGAGGAAUAUUGGUCAAUGGGCGCAAGCCUGAACCAGCCAUGCCGCGUGCAGGAAGAAUGCCCUAUGGGUUGUAAACUGCUUUUAUUUGGGAAUAAACCUCUUUACGUGUAGAGAGCUGAAGGUACCAAAUGAAUAAGCACCGGCUAACUCCGUGCCAGCCGCCGCGGUAA
rnacentral:rRNA from 1 species